AUAUCCAUCUCAAUGAACUUGCAGAUCCCUUGGGUAAUUUUCUCUGCUCGUUGUGCAUCGCAGCUCCUCCGUGCUAACGCCGACACGAUGCUAGGUUGAGACUGAGAGCAGGAUGCACCGCCACCGACAUCAACCAGGGUCGGAUGUACUUUGUUUAAAUGGUACAUCAUUUGAGUCGUGGCCGUGCUGUACUUAUACACGGCAUCACAGUGUUUGCAGUGAACUAAGUCAUUUUUUAAAUCAAAUUGGUCCCACGCCA